UGUGAAGAAUUGGGGUGCCAUUGUGCUGAGAUUAAACCCACUGAACCUGAUACGGUUAACACCGGCGAAGGGAUUUCUUUCACCAGAUAG
rnacentral:ncRNA from 2 species